UACGUAGGGUGCGAGCGUUAAUCGGAAUUACUGGGCGUAAAGCGUGCGCAGGCGGUCUGUUAAGACAGAUGUGAAAUCCCCGGGCUUAACCUGGGAACUGCAUUUGUGACUGGCAGGCUAGAGUAUGGCAGAGGGGGGUAGAAUUCCACGUGGUAGCAGUGAAAUGCGUAGAGAUGUGGAGGAAUACCGAUGGCGAAGGCAGCCCCCUGGGCCAAUACUGACGCUCAUGCACGAAAGCGUGGGGAGCAAACAGG
rnacentral:rRNA from 1 species